rnacentral:rRNA from 1 species
AGAGUUUGAUCCUGGCUUAGAUUGAACGCUGGCGGCAGGCUUAACACAUGCAAGUCGACCGUGCGAGGUUGCUUCGGUAACUGAGCUAGCGGCGGACGGGUGAGUAAAGCUUAGGAAUCUGCCUAUUAGUGGGGGACAACAUUUCGAAAGGGAUGCUAAUACCGCAUACGUCCUACGGGAGAAAGCAGGGGAUCACUUGUGACCUUGCGCUAAUAGAUGAGCCUAAGUCGGAUUAGCUAGUUGGUGGGGUAAAGGCCUACCAAGGCGACGAUCUGUAGCGGGUCUGAGAGGAUGAUCCGCCACACUGGGACUGAGACACGGCCCAGACUCCUACGGGAGGCAGCAGUGGGGAAUAUUGGACAAUGGGGGGAACCCUGAUCCAGCCAUGCCGCGUGUGUGAAGAAGGCCUUUUGGUUGUAAAGCACUUUAAGUGGGGAGGAGGCUCUCUUGGUUAAUACCUGAGAAGAGUGGACGUUACCCACAGAAUAAGCACCGGCUAACUCUGUGCCAGCAGCCGCGGUAAUACAGAGGGUGCGAGCGUUAAUCGGAUUUACUGGGCGUAAAGCGCGCGUAGGUGGUUAAUUAAGUCAAAUGUGAAAUCCCCGAGCUUAACUUGGGAAUUGCAUUCGAUACUGGGUAGCUAGAGUAUGGGAGAGGAUGGUAGAAUUCCAUGUGUAGCGGUGAAAUGCGUAG